AAAUUGAAGAGUUUGAUCAUGGCUCAGAUUGAACGCUGGCGGCAGGCCUAACACAUGCAAGUCGAGCGGUAGCACAGAGAGCUUGCUCUCGGGUGACGAGCGGCGGACGGGUGAGUAAUGUCUGGGAAACUGCCUGAUGGAGGGGGAUAACUACUGGAAACGGUAGCUAAUACCGCAUAAUGUCGCAAGACCAAAGUGGGGGACCUUCGGGCCUCAUGCCAUCAGAUGUGCCCAGAUGGGAUUAGCUAGUAGGUGGGGUAACGGCUCACCUAGGCGACGAUCCCUAGCUGGUCUGAGAGGAUGACCAGCCACACUGGAACUGAGACACGGUCCAGACUCCUACGGGAGGCAGCAGUGGGGAAUAUUGCACAAUGGGCGCAAGCCUGAUGCAGCCAUGCCGCGUGUGUGAAGAAGGCCUUCGGGUUGUAAAGCACUUUCAGCGGGGAGGAAGGCGUUAAGGUUAAUAACCUUGACGAUUGACGUUACCCGCAGAAGAAGCACCGGCUAACUCCGUGCCAGCAGCCGCGGUAAUACGGAGGGUGCAAGCGUUAAUCGGAAUUACUGGGCGUAAAGCGCACGCAGGCGGUCUGUCAAGUCGGAUGUGAAAUCCCCGGGCUCAACCUGGGAACUGCAUUCGAAACUGGCAGGCUAGAGUCUUGUAGAGGGGGGUAGAAUUCCAGGUGUAGCGGUGAAAUGCGUAGAGAUCUGGAGGAAUACCGGUGGCGAAGGCGGCCCCCUGGACAAAGACUGACGCUCAGGUGCGAAAGCGUGGGGAGCAAACAGGAUUAGAUACCCUGGUAGUCCACGCCGUAAACGAUGUCGAUUUGGAGGUUGUGCCCUUGAGGCGUGGCUUCCGGAGCUAACGCAUUAAAUCGACCGCCUGGGGAGUACGGCCGCAAGGUUAAAACUCAAAUGAAUUGACGGGGGCCCGCACAAGCGGUGGAGCAUGUGGUUUAAUUCGAUGCAACGCGAAGAACCUUACCUGGUCUUGACAUCCACAGAACUUAGCAGAGAUGCUUUGGUGCCUUCGGGAACUGUGAGACAGGUGCUGCAUGGCUGUCGUCAGCUCGUGUUGUGAAAUGUUGGGUUAAGUCCCGCAACGAGCGCAACCCUUAUCCUUUGUUGCCAGCGGUUCGGCCGGGAACUCAAAGGAGACUGCCAGUGAUAAACUGGAGGAAGGUGGGGAUGACGUCAAGUCAUCAUGGCCCUUACGACCAGGGCUACACACGUGCUACAAUGGCAUAUACAAAGAGAAGCGACCUCGCGAGAGCAAGCGGACCUCAUAAAGUAUGUCGUAGUCCGGAUUGGAGUCUGCAACUCGACUCCAUGAAGUCGGAAUCGCUAGUAAUCGUAGAUCAGAAUGCUACGGUGAAUACGUUCCCGGGCCUUGUACACACCGCCCGUCACACCAUGGGAGUGGGUUGCAAAAGAAGUAGGUAGCUUAACCUUCGGGAGGGCGCUUACCACUUUGUGAUUCAUGACUGGGGUGAAGUCGUAACAAGGUAACCGUAGGGGAACCUGCGGUUGGAUCACCUCCUUA
rnacentral:rRNA from 1 species